AUUGAACGCUGGCGGCAGGCCUAACACAUGCAAGUCGAACGGUAACAGGAAACAGCUUGCUGUUUCGCUGACGAGUAGCGGACGGGUGAGUAAUGUCUGGGAAACUGCCUGAUGGAGGGGGAUAACUACUGGAAACGGUAGCUAAUACCGCAUAACGUCUCAAGACCAAAGAGGGGGACCUUCGGGCCUCUUGCCAUCGGAUGUGCCCAGAUGGGAUUCGCUUGUUGGUGGGGUAACGGCUCACCAAGGCGACGAUCCCUAGCUGGUCUGAGAGGAUGACCAGCCACACUGGAACUGGGACACGGUCCAUACUCCUACGGGAGGCAGCAGUGGGUAAUAUUGCACAAUGGGCGCAAGCCUGAUGCAGCCAUGCCGCGUGUAUGAAGAAGGCCUUCGGGUUGUAAAGUACUUUCAGCGGGGAGAAAGGGAGUAAAGUUAAUACCUUUACUCAUUGACGUUACCCGCAGAAGAAGCACCGGCUAACUCCGUGCCAGCCGCCGCCGUAA
rnacentral:rRNA from 1 species